UAGGGAAUCUUCCGCAAUGGACGAAAGUCUGACGGAGCAACGCCGCGUGAGUGAAGAAGGAUUUCGGUUCGUAAAACUCUGUUGUUAGGGAAGAAAAAAUGUAUAGUAACUAUAUACAAACGAGACGGUACCUAACCAGAAAGCCACGGCUAACGACGUGCCAGCAGCCGCGGUAAUACGUAGGUGGCAAGCGUUGUCCGGAAUUAUUGGGCGUAAAGCGCGCGCAGGUGGUUUAGAAAGUCUGAUGUGAAAGCCCACGGCUCAACCGUGGAGGGUCAUUUGAAACUAAUAAACUUGAGUGCAGGAGAGAAAAGUGGAAUUCCUAGUGUAGCGGUGAAAUGCGUAGAGAUUAGGAGGAACACCGGUGGCGAAGGCGGCUUUUUGGCCUGCAACUGACGCUGAGGCGCGAAAGCGUGGGGAGCAAACAGG
rnacentral:rRNA from 1 species